GGACUGUAGCUCAGUGGUAGAGCACUCGCCUCACACGUAUGAGGCACUGGGUUUGACCCUCAGCACCA
rnacentral:tRNA from 1 species